CACGUAGGGCGCGAGCGUUGUCCGGAAUUAUUGGGCGUAAAGAGCUCGUAGGCGGCCUGUUGCGUCCGCUGUGAAAGCCCGGGGCUUAACCCCGGGUCGGCAGUGGAUACGGGCAGGCUAGAGGUAGGUAGGGGAGAAUGGAAUUCCCGGUGUAGCGGUGAAAUGCGCAGAUAUCGGGAGGAACACCGGCGGCGAAGGCGGGUCUCUGGGCAGUAACUGACGCUGAGGAGCGAAAGCGUGGGGAGCGAACAGG
rnacentral:rRNA from 1 species